rnacentral:SRP_RNA from 1 species
GCCGGGCGUGAUGGCACAUGCCUGUAGUCCCAGCUACUCAGGAGGCUGAGGUAGGAGAAUUGCUUGAACCCGGGAGGCUGAGGUUGCAGUGAGCCGAGAUUGUGCCACUGCACUCCAGCCUGGGUGACAGAGCAAGACUCUAUCUCAA